rnacentral:rRNA from 1 species
GAGUAAUGUCUGGGAAACUGCCUGAUGGAGGGGGAUAACUACUGGAAACGGUAGCUAAUACCGCAUAACGUCGCAAGACCAAAGAGGGGGACCUUCGGGCCUCUUGCCAUCAGAUGUGCCCAGAUGGGAUUAGCUUGUUGGUGGGGUAACGGCUCACCAAGGCGGCGAUCCCUAGCUGGUCCGAGAGGAUGACCAGCCACACUGGAACUGAGACACGGUCCAG